rnacentral:rRNA from 1 species
UGGGGAAUUUUGGACAAUGGGCGAAAGCCUGAUCCAGCAAUGCCGCGUGUGUGAAGAAGGCCUUCGGGUUGUAAAGCACUUUUGUCCGGAAAGAAAUCCUUGGCUCUAAUACAGUCGGGGGAUGACGGUACCGGAAGAAUAAGCACCGGCUAACUACGUGCCAGCAGCCGCGGUAAUACGUAGGGUGCAAGCGUUAAUCGGAAUUACUGGGCGUAAAGCGUGCGCAGGCGGUUUGCUAAGACCGAUGUGAAAUCCCCGGGCUCAACCUGGGAACUGCAUUGGUGACUGGCAGGCUAGAGUAUGGCAGAGGGGGGUAGAAUUCCACGUGUAGCAGUGAAAUGCGUAGAGAUGUGGAGGAAUACCGAUGGCGAAGGCAGCCCCCCUGGGCCAAUACUGACGCUCAUGCACGAAAGCGUGGGGGAGCAAACAGGAUUAGAUACCCUGGUAGUCCACGCCCUAAACGAUGUCAACUAGUUGUUGGGGAUUCAUUUCCUUAGUAACGUAGCUAACGCGUGAAGUUGACCGCCUGGGGAGUACGGUCGCAAGAUUAAAACUCAAAUGAAUUGACGGGGU